ACGUCGCAGUGGUUACGAUAGGGCAAGGGAGAGGUGGUGAUAAAAAGAAUUAUAGAGAGAAAAAAUAAGAAUAAUAAAAAAUAAAAAAUAUAUUUUUCUACAGAAAAGACCAAAAAAUAUAGAAGAAGAAAGAAGAAGAUUAAAUUGCAUUGUUAAAAUAAGAUUACACCGUUUUAAAAAAAAUUUACACUAUUUUAAUAAAAAUUACACUACUUGAUAUAGAUAUUACACUCUUUUGGAAUGAAAUUUACACUAUUUAGACCAAAGUUGUGCAAUUUAGAAAAAUUUUACACCAUUUAUUUUUCUCUUCUUUUUCUCUUUCUCUUCCUCUUCCUCUUUUUCUUCCUCCGUCCACUGCCCGUACAGCACCGACUCCACCUCCACGCUGCUUAAUCAUAUACCAGAUGGCUCAUGAUUCUCCCUAAU
rnacentral:lncRNA from 1 species